AUUGAACGCUGGCGGCAGGCCUAACACAUGCAAGUCGAACGAGUGGCGGACGGGUGAGUAAUGUCUGGGAAACUGCCCAAUGGAGGGGGAUAACUACUGGCAACGGUAGCUACUACCGCAUACUAUUGGGGGUGCCUAGAUGCGAUUAGCUAGUGGGUGGGGUAAAGGCUCACCCAGGCGACGAUCCCUAGCUGGUCUGAGAGGAUGACCAGCCACUGUGGGACUGAGACACGGUCAAGACUCCUACGGGAGGCAGCAGUGGGAAAUAUUGGACAAUGGGCGAAAGCCUGAUGCAGCCAUUCCGCGUGUAUGAAGAAGGCCUUCGGGUUGUAAAGUACUUUCAGCGGAGAAGCGGUAACUGAAGAAGAAGCACCGGCUAACUCCGUGCCAGCAGCCGCGGUAAUAC
rnacentral:rRNA from 1 species